GAUGAACGCUAGCGACAGGCCUAACACAUGCAAGUCGAGGGGCAGCACAUGCGUAGCAAUACAAUGGUGGCGACCGGCGCACGGGUGAGUAACACGUAUGCAACCUACCUGUAAGAGGGGAAUAACCCGGAGAAAUUCGGACUAACACCGCAUAAUACCUCGAAGCUGCAUGGCUUUGAGGUUAAAUAUUUAUAGCUUACAGAUGGGCAUGCGUAACAUUAGAUAGUUGGUGAGGUAACGGCUCACCAAGUCAACGAUGUUUAGGGGUUCUGUUAGGAGAGUCCCCCACCCUGCUACUAAGACACGGACCAGACGCCUGCGGGAGGCAGGAGUGAGGAAUAUUGGUAAAUGGGCGAGAGCCUGAACCAGCCAAGUCGCGUAAGGGAAGAAGGUUCUAUGGAUUGUAAACUUCUUUUGUAAGGGAAUAAAAAGAGUUACGUGUAACUUAUUGGAUGUACUUUACGAAUAAGGAUCGGCUAACUCCGUGCCAGCAGCCGCCGUAACAC
rnacentral:rRNA from 1 species